UUUUUUUCCUUUCAGUUUCUUAUUCACCAUGGAAACGUGGGUGAAAAAAAUAUAAGUGACCUCUCACAGAGUGAUCUCACCUGGUAGCCACACAGUGCCCACUUUCAGGGAGCGGACCUGUUUCUCUGGACGCUGGCUGUUGAACGAAGGCAAGUCAGGGAUGACAGGGACAGCGUGGGCUGCUGCAGUCACUGGGCUCUGGGCCUGGCCAGCCCUGGGACACAGAAGGGGAAACUGAGGCCCCAUCACAGGUAUUUCAGUGCCAAUCACCAACAUCACACCUGGCUCGCUCAUCAUUUCCUAAAAAGGACAACUUUAAAAUCGCUGUAGAUUGACAGGAAACAGUGCCGAGCAGCAUGAUUCUGUGCACCCUUCGCUGAGUGCCACCAUGGUCACAUCUUACAUCGUCUGUGAUGUCAAACAUCAGUGUCCG